rnacentral:rRNA from 1 species
GAUGAACGCUGGCGGCGUGCCUAAUACAUGCCAGUCGAGCGAACGGACGAGAAGCUUGCUUCUCUGAUGUUAGCGGCGGACGGGUGAGUAACACGUGGAUAACCUACCUAUAAGACUGGGAUAACUUCGGGAAACCGGAGCUAAUACCGGAUAAUAUUUUGAACCGCAUGGUUCAAAAGUGAAAGACGGUCUUGCUGUCACUUAUAGAUGGAUCCGCGCUGCAUUAGCUAGUUGGUAAGGUAACGGCUUACCAAGGCAACGAUGCAUAGCCGACCUGAGAGGGUGAUCGGCCACACUGGACCUGAGACACGGUCCAGCCUCCUACGGGAGGCAGCAGUAGGGAAUCUUCCGCAAUGGGCGAAAGCCUGACGGAGCAACGCCGCGUCAGUGAUGAAGGUCUUCGGAUCGUAAAACUCUGUUAUUAGGGAAGAACAUAUGUGUAAGUAACUGUUCACAUCUUGACGGUACCUAAUCAGAAAGCCACGGCUAACUACGUG